GACGAACGCUGGCGGCGUGCCUAACACAUGCAAGUCGAGCGGGAACCUCAGGAGGGGUAACCCUCCUGAGGGGAGAGCGGCGAACGGGUGAGUAACACGUGGGCAACCUGCCCCGGACACCGGGAUAACCCAGGGAAACCUGAGCUAAUACCGGAUACUCCGGCGAGAUCGCAUGGUCGCGCCGGGAAAGCUCCGACGGUCCGGGAUGGGCCCGCGGCCUAUCAGCUUGUUGGUGGGGUAACGGCCCACCAAGGCGACGACGGGUAGCUGGUCUGAGAGGACGGCCAGCCACACUGGGACUGAGACACGGCCCAGACUCCUACGGGAGGCAGCAGUGGGGGAUCUUGCGCUAAUGCGCGAAAGCGUGACGCAGCGACGCCGCGUGGGGGAUGAAGGCCCUCGGGUUGUAAACCCCUUUCGGCAGGGACGAAGCGAAAGUGACGGUACCUGCAGAAGAAGUCCCGGCUAACUACGUGCCAGCAGCCGCGGUAAGAC
rnacentral:rRNA from 1 species